AGUUCGAUUCUGGCUCAGAUUGAACGCUGGCGGACGCUUACACAUGCAAGUCGAACGGCAGCACGGACUUCGGUCUGGUGGCGAGUGGCGAACGGGCGAGCAAUGUAUCGGAACGUGCCUAGUAGCGGGGAUAACUACGCGAAAGCGUAGCUAAUACCGCAUACGCCCUUCGGGGGAAAGUGGGGACCUUCGGGCCUCGCACUAGAGCGGCCGAUAUCGGGAUGAAUAGUUAUGGGCAACGGCUCACCAAGGCGACGAUCCGUAGCUGGUUUGAGAGGACGACCAGCCACACUGACUGGAGACAGUCGAUCUUGCCGGCGGCAGCAGUGGGGAAUUUUGACAAUGGGAAACCCCGAUUCAGCCACUCCGCGUGUGCGAUGAAGGCCUUCGGGUUGUAGCACUUUUGGCAGGAGAAAGAAACGGCACGGGAUAAUACCCCGGCAAAAGUGUAACCAAACUGAUUUUUGGUACCUGCUGGGUAUAUAUGGCCGGGCUACUAAAGUGGCACUCCGGCUAAUUCACGCCAAUAAAAGCGGUGCAGCUGCGGUAAUAUUUAGGCGCGUGGGCAUAUGACUGAAUUACUGGGCGUAAAGGUGUGGCAGUGAGCCCAAAGGGAAGAAAGAUGUGAAAUCCAGAGCUUAACUUUGGAACUGCAUUUUUAACUACCGAGCUAGAGUGUGUCAGGAGGGAGGUGGAAUUCCGCGUGUAGCAGUGAAAUGCGUAGAUAUGCGGAGGAACACCGAUGGCGAAGGCAGCCUCCUGGGAUAACACUGACGCUCAUGCACGAAAGCGUGGGGAGCAAACAGGUAGAUUAGAUACCCUGGUAGUCCACGCUCCAAACGAUGUCAACUUAGCUGUUGGGGCCUUCGCCUUGUAGUGCAGUUAACAGGAAGUUGACCGCCUGGGGAGUACGGUCGCAAGAUUAAAACUCAAAGGAAUUGACGGGGACCCGCACAGCGGUGGAUGAUGUGGAUUAAUUCGAUGCAACGCGAAAACCUUACCUACCCUUGACAUGUCUGGAAUCCCGAAGAGAUUUGGGAGUGCCUGCAAGAGAACCGGAACACAGGUGCUGCAUGGCUGUCGUCAGCUCGUGUCGAGAUGCUGGGUUAAGUCCCAUAACGAGCGCAACCCCUUGUCAUUAGUUGCUACGAAAGGGCACCCCCACGAGACUGCCGGUGACAAACCGGAGGAAGGUGGGGAUGACGUCAAGUCCUCAUGGCCCUUAUGGGUAGGGCUUCACACGUCAUACAAUGGUCGGGACAGAGGGUCGCCAACCCGCGAGGGGGAGCCAAUCCCAGAAACCCGAUCGUAGUCCGGAUCGCGCCUGCAACUCGACUGCGUGAAGUCGGAAUCGCUAGUAAUCGUGGAUCAGCAUGGCCGCAGAACAUGUCUGGCUCUGUACACACCGCCCGUCGCUACACCAUGGGAGUGGGUUUUACCAGAAGUAGUUAGCUCAACUGCAAGGAGGGCGAUUACCACGGUAGGAUUCAUGACUGGGGUAGUCGUAACAAGCAA
rnacentral:rRNA from 1 species